UUCAUUCAUAGUUGUGACUCCUUACAGCAGCGCCAUUGAGGUAUAAAGGGUCAUCAUUAUUAGUAAGAAACGGCUAUCAAAUAACUACUACUAAUUCGUAAUUAGCUCGAAGAAUUCUUUUUUAAGCUAGAGUGCAAGGCGACUGCGUGCGCAGUCUAAACGCUUUGAGCUUUGUUGGAUCUGGCUUGAACAAGCAAAGCCCCAGCAUUCUGGCACUUCAUUAGAACCUAAAAUAUAGCAAUUUCUUCCAUUUUUCUUUUCUUUUUAAUUUUUUAAUAGAAGUAGUCUUGUACACCUAUCAUAAAUAUGAUACCUUUGAGCUACGAACACGAAACAUCUUAUAGUACCAUCUAUAUAUAUAUAUAUACGGGCAAAAAUCAAAGUUAGCUACAAUGACUUGAAUUUAUUGUGUCCUCAUUUUUGUUGGCUUUAUUUCGUCUUAUAGCUAGUUCGUCGUUGACUCGUUGCAUUACUCAUUUUUUUUUCCUAUUGUCUAUUUUAAUGUGUAUUAGAUAUGCCUAUUGCACAAAACAUAUUGUUUAUGUCUGUAUUAUGACUAUAUACACCAUAUGGUACAUGUUUAGCACUGAAUAGUCAUUACAAUAUGGCCGUCUUUUUUCGUUUGCUGUCUGCUCUCGCACUUGUUGAUUCUGUUUGCAUAAGUGAGACAUUGUCAUCUUCAAACACACUACAACAGGCUAAUUGACCCCUACUCAACAACAUAAUCGCCUCUCCAUUUCUAGUACGGAGGGCUGACCUCAACGAACGAUGAGACAAAUUUUCAGCGACAUCCGAUCUACGCCAUCUCAGUAACGUUGGUCGCACCUAACGUUGAUCAAUAAUAAUAACAAUCUAACAAUAAUUAUGCUAAAGGUGUUCCCUUUACGUCUUUUUCCAGUGGUUAUUAUAAAAACAUACGUAAUAUGGCCGAGAACGUACGUAUAUAUAUGUUCUGUUCAUGCCAUUGUCCUAACGCUGCUUCAAUUAAAAAGUGAAAUUACAAGCUUUGAUUACCUUCUCUACAUCAACAUGCCACGUUAUCGAAGGUUUGCUGCAUGUCACAGCUGAGCGCAUCGUUUCACGCAACAGGUACCUUAGGACAGGGGUCCUAAAGCACAAUGUUAACAGACAAGUCGUCAUCAACAGCGCGCAGGAACUUGUUUGUCAUUAAAGUAAACAUCAACUGCAGAGCUAACUGUAAAUAUACUGUAUACCUUGAUUUCUACGCUUACAGCAAAUCUUUGUGGGCAUCCAUUACAAAUGGCCGAUUCGGUUGUGUAGAAAAUGGCAGCCAUUAGCCAUAUGAUGCUAGAGCGUAUAGUAUUGGCUGACAUUUUCCUGCUCGUUAUCAUUGAUCGCUUUUGCCAGGCCAACAUAAAUCUGAGUGAAUAGUUUCGAUUCACACAAUUUUCUUUUUGUCACACACGCCAAUUGAUAAGCGAUCUGGGUCUCUUGGUAGAUUGAGCUGUCUGUAGAACAGUGCGCGUGGUCGCCGUAAUCUUCGCUAGUUCGUUCGGCGUUAUGCCUGCGAAUUCAUAAAACGAAGAGUUUGCCGUGUCAAAAAUGCCGUCUUGCUCUGGUAAGCACACUUCUGAUAGUCUCAGAAUAACGAGAGCGUAUAGAUGUGAAUGAAUUUAGGUAUAGCUAGAUAUUUGUAUGUGUGAAUGUUUGUGUCAAUGUAAAAUCGUCAUCCUAGAGGAACUAUUAGAUCAUAUAACAGUUCGUUAUACCCUCGGCCGUCCAAAUAUCGUCUAAACAUUUGAGAGCGAACGAGACGUCUUUACUUAGUUAUAUAUACAGUUUGUGUUAGCCAUUAUUCUACCACUAGAGAGAGUUAUUCCAGCUCAUUCGUAAUUAAAAGAUCGAUUGCGAUUUGAGCAUUUUAGUCGUCGUUUCAUGGAUGAAGAAACAGGAUAUACUUACGUAUUAAAGAAACGGCCAUCUUAAACGAAGCAAUAAUAAUUUUUCUCUUGCUGUUUUGUGCACAGUUGUCAACAUCGAUGUAGCUAUGUGACAUAAUGUUGUGCGAUUUAAUUUUUUCGAAAAACAAACAAACAAACAAAAAAAAGUUAUCGCCGGCGAGUGGUCUAAAAGUUCCUGUCUUACUGUGCUUCUUCUACAACGGGUCUCUAAAGCCAGCUACACAUGUCUAAGAUCUGAACAUUUUUUACAUUAACUGUUGUUAACGUGUGGAGUAUGGCGCAUCUAUUUCGAAGAUGAGUGAAGACGUUUUGGGCGUAAACUUUUCACACUCAAAGUUUGACAAGCUAUAUAUGGUUGGCCUACAAGAUACCAGAAAACAACACCAAUACUACAUACCGUAUGAGCGUUACUUUGCGAGUAGACGUAACGCCUACCACCGUGGCCCGGCUUCCCAUACCAUAAAUUCAUUAUCAUAAAUGCAUUUCAGCAAUUUAAUAUUGAAAAAUGCGUUCGCCCAACUAAUAUUUGUUCGAAUCAUUUCAGAUUUACCUCUCAGCUGUUGGUACGACUUACGGGUGGAACAGCAUUGGUUGACAGUCGUAAGCGUUGCAUCGUCGGGCAUCCUAUAGGGCAAUGAGAAAUCGAUCAUUUUGCAGACAAUGUAAUACUGCGAUACGGAAAGAAUAACAACAAAAAAAAAGACUGCUGCGCCAUACUCGAGGUUCCAGCUGGCGAGGUGUUCCAUUCGGCUGUCCGAGAGCAGGAAGACCUCAGCAAAAUGCUGAAUCAUUGGUUUAAAUAGUCGUCUUUUUUUCGUGCCGCGGAAAGUUGCUCAAGCAUUUUUGACACGCACAAGUUUAUUCUUACAUAUUUAUAUGGUACUACGUAACGUUUCAUAACGUUCCAAAACAACGACUUACAAUGCCGCUCGAUUCAGAUUCAUAACGUUUUCAAAGCUGCUGUAGGCUCUUCCUGCCUGGUCACCUUCGUUUUCCUUUAUCCCGUAUCGUUGAUUGUUUUCGAUUGUGAGAUUAUUGUCUCCCAGCAAACGGUCACCUAUUCGCUAACGCUUUUAUCGUAUCUAUACAAAAUUCUAUUGGUCAUAUGUUUCGCAUCUAAUACGAAUAGAAACGCUUUCACAGCGAACCAAUUCAACCUAACAAGAUAGUUAAUCACCUUUGCUCUUUCCCCUAUAUACAACUGAACGCAGUUUGCAGAAAAAAAAAAAAAAUGUUUAUAGUAAGUUCCUGUUUUGGAGACUACUUUUACGGGUUGUCCAUUUUAUUGUCAUCUGACUAAGGAGGCCACAGCUGAUAUUGAGAGUAACCAGAAUAGAGGCUUACCAAUGCCUAGGUUCACUAUCGAAAUCGUGAAAAAUUGUUUUGGGUGGUCACGGUUAGCUGUGAAACGUGUCAUAUAUAUAUAUAUACGCGGGUGGAGCACUGGUACGCACCAAGCCAGUUUAAACCGUGGCGGCAAAAAUCAUACAUAUGGCAUUCGUUGGUUAUGUAAACAGUCACACAACGCUCCGCCCGCACCAUCAGCUCUAUUUAAUAAUAUUAUCAGACAUCGUCGUCAUCAUCAUCUGUACAAUAAUAUAUAUAUAUAUAUAUAUAUAUAUUUGAUCUAGAGCUUGCAUAAAUAUCAUAUUCGCGAGUGGCCGUUCAGCGAGGCUCUAUGGUAAACAGUGAUUGACUGAUCGUGGCGUUGGUAACUAAGGCUAACAUAUCAUCGCCGUUCGUUCGGAGACUGCUGCCGCUGCUGCUAUUACUAGAACUACAACUAUUACCAUUGCACUACUAGCGUCGGAACUUGCUUUUUUUCUAUCUAUUAUCUAUAUUGCAAUUGUGAACUGCAAAGAGCAGUAGCAUAUAUAUAUAUAUAUAUAUAUGCCGUUUCGUCGUGAUAACGAGGACUAUAUAGCAUUAGCACUUAUAUAGCAUUCAGUAGUUGCCGCCGUUACCAUUUUGUUAAUUAUUCUCUCUGUUUUUUUUUCACUGCCGCCGACUUUCAAUAGCAGGUGUCUAAAUGCGUCUUGGCCAGCCUCUGCUCGUCAUGUCGUACAUAGCGAUAACCAGGUAAUUUAGUGGAUAUAUAUAUAUAUAUAACUUCAUUUAUGUACAAUGUGUAGGGUAUAGCGAUUAUUAGGUUGCUUUUAGCAUUCCCUAAAUCAAAGUGUAUACACAAUCAUUACAGAGGUUGAUUGGUUACAUGAUGGUAUCGUUCAGAGCUGACAUAUUAUGCGACUUACGACUGCCUACGUUAUAAAAACAUAACACGUCUUUCUCUAUUCGUGGUUAUUUGCCCGCAACAGGCGAACAGUUCUACAGCAGGC